AGAGCGCACGGUGGAUGCCUUGGCACUAAUAGGCGAAGAAGGACGCGACUAACAGCGAAAUGCUACGGGGAGCAGUAAGUACGCAGAGAUCCGUAGAUGUCCGAAUGGGGGAACCCACUAGUUUGAAGAACUAGUAUCAUAUAGUGAAUACAUAGCUAUAUGAGGCAAACCUGGAGAAUUGAAACAUCUUAGUACCCAGAGGAAAAGAAAAUAAAUAAUGAUUCCCUAAGUAGAGGCGAUUGAAAGGGGAAGAGCCCAGCACCAUCAAGAGUUACAAAAUCUUUUUAUAGUAGAAUUGUAUUGGAAAAGCAAGUCAAAGAAGGUGAAAGCCCUGUAUACGAAAUAAAGAGAUCUCGGUGUGAGAGUAGGGCGGAGCACGUGAAAUUCUGUCUGAAUAUGCGAGGACCAUCUCGUAAGGCUAAAUACUCAUUAGUGACCGAUAGUGAACCAGUACUGUGAAGGAAAGGUGAAAAGAACCCCUGGCGGGGAGUGAAAAGAACCUGAAACCGUGUGCUUACAAACAGUUAGAGCCCAUCAAUGGGUGAUAGCGUGCCUUUUGUAGAAUGAGCCGGCGAGUUACGUUAAUUUGCAAGGUUAAGCUUUUAGGAGUGGAGCCGUAGCGAAAGCAAGUCUUAAUAGGGCGAAUAAGUAGAUUGACGUAUACCCGAAACCGGGUGAUCUAGCCAUGAGCAGGUUGAAGCUUGGGUAAAACCAGGUGGAGGACCGAACCAGGGUCUGUUGAAAAAGACUUGGAUGACUUGUGGCUAGGGGUGAAAUUCCAAUCGAACCCGGAGAUAGCUGGUUCUCCCCGAAAUAGCUUUAGGGCUAGCGUUGUGAGAAGAGUUAUACGAAGGUAGAGCACUGAAUGGGUGAGGGCCGCACCUCGCGGUACCAAUCUCAAUCAAACUCCGAAUGUCGUAUAAUAUGCACAGCAGUAAGACUAUGGGUGAUAAGGUCCAUGGUCAAAAGGGAAACAGCCCAGACCGCCAGUUAAGGUCCCAAAAUUAUGCUAAGUGGGAAAGGAGGUGGAGUCGCUUAAACAACUAGGAGGUUGGCUCAGAAGCAGCCAUCCUUUAAAGAGUGCGUAAUAGCUCACUAGUCGAGUGAUUCUGCGCCGAAAAUGUAUCGGGGCUAAGCAUAAUACCGAAGCUGCGGGAUUAGAUGAAGAAUCUAAUCGGUAGGGGAGCGUACUAAGUGCGUAGAAGGUUGACCGGAAGGGCAGCUGGAGCGCUUAGCAGUGAGUAUGCCGGUGUGAGUAGCGAUAAGAUGGGUGAGAAUCCCAUCCGUCGAAAGCCUAAGGUUUCCAGGGGUAAGGCUCGUCCUCCCUGGGUAAGUCGGGUCCUAAGGUGAGGCUGAGAAGCGUAGCUGAUGGACAUCAGGUUGAUAUUCCUGAACCACCAUAAAACUGAAGGAAUGACGGAGGAGGCUAAUCAGAGCUGAUUAAUGGAUUUCAGUUUAAGUACAAAGAGGGUUACGUAGGCAAAUCCGCGUAGCAAAACCUUGAAGUAUGAUGACGUAAGUCUGGUGAAGCCACACUUCCAAGAAAAGUUUCUAGGUGUAUUUUAUGGUGCCCGUACCGUAAACGGACACACGUAGGCGAGGAGAGAAUCCAAAGACGCGCGAGAUAAUUCUUGUUAAGGAACUCUGCAAAAUUACUCUGUAACUUCGGAAUAAAGAGGGCUCCCGUGAGGGAGACGCAGAAAAUAGGCCCAAGCGACUGUUUAACAAAAACAUAGGUUUCUGCUAAAGCGUAAGCUGAUGUAUAGGAGCUGACGCCUGCCCAGUGCUGGAAGGUUAAGAGGAGAAGUUAGUCGCAAGGCGAAGCUUUGAAUUGAAGCCCCAGUAAACGGCGGCCGUAACUAUAACGGUCCUAAGGUAGCGAAAUUCCUUGUCAGGUAAGUUCUGACCCGCACGAAAGGCGUAACGAUUUGGGCGCUGUCUCAGCUGUAGACUCGGUGAAGUCUUAGUACCUGUGAAGAUGCAGGUUACCCGCGACUAGACGGAAAGACCCCAUGGAGCUUCACUGCAGGUUGAUAUUGGGAUUUGAUGCAGCAUGUACAGGAUAGGUAGGAGGCAAAGAGAUGGAUACGCCAGUAUUCAAGGAGCCGCUGUUGGGAUACUACCCCUGUUGUAUUGG
rnacentral:rRNA from 1 species